rnacentral:rRNA from 1 species
UACAGAGGUCUCAAGCGUUGUUCGGAUUCAUUGGGCGUAAAGGGUGCGUAGGUGGCGCGGUAAGUCGGGUGUGAAAUUUCGGAGCUUAACUCCGAAACUGCAUUCGAUACUGCCGUGCUUGAGGACUGGAGAGGAGACUGGAAUUUACGGUGUAGCAGUGAAAUGCGUAGAGAUCGUAAGGAAGACCAGUGGCGAAGGCGGGUCUCUGGACAGUUCCUGACACUGAGGCACGAAGGCCAGGGGAGCAAAGCGGG